UACAGAGGUCCCGAGCGUUGUUCGGAUUCAUUGGGCGUAAAGGGUGCGUAGGUGGCGCCGUAAGUGGGGUGUGAAAUCCCGGGGCUUAACCCCGGGACUGCAUUCCAUACUGCGGUGCUUGAGGACUGGAGAGGAGACUGGAAUUUACGGUGUAGCAGUGAAAUGCGUAGAGAUCGUAAGGAAGACCAGUGGCGAAGGCGGGUCUCUGGACAGGUUCCUGACACUGAGGCACGAAGGCCAGGGGAGCAAACGGGAUUAGACGUACC
rnacentral:rRNA from 1 species